rnacentral:lncRNA from 1 species
GGUAGGGAGAAGCUGAAGAUAAGCUAUUGGCUUCCCUGAACAGAGGAGACUCCUCGGUGGUCUAAUGGCAACUCCGACUGUUCGGCUCAUCUCAGAAUGCUUUAUCAAACCAAAGUUCACUUCAGAAGAGACCAAGGAGCCCUGUUACCUCACACCAUGGGACCUUGCCAUGCUCUCCGUCAAUUAUAUCCAAAAGGGCCUUCUCUUUAGCAAACCACCUGAUGUGGAUGAUCCACAAAACUUCAUGGCAACUCUCUUGGACAGGCUCAAGGAUUCCCUCGCUCUCACACUCGACCAUUUCUACCCACUUGCAGGCCGCCUUGCAACAAAGAAGGAGGACAGUCCACCCUCUUACGUGGUCUUUGUAGAUUGUAACAACAGUCCCGGAGCGAAAUUCAUCCACGCAGCUGCAGACAUGACAAUAUCUGAUAUCCUUUCACCAAUUUAUGUACCCCAAGUUAUCCAAUCAUUCUUUGAUCAUGAUAGGGUGAUUAACCACGAUGGUCACACCUUGUCUUUGCUAUCAAUUCAAGUCACAGAGCUUGUGGACGGCAUCUUCAUUGGAUGUUCCAUAAAUCACAGCAUGGUUGAUGGAACCUCUUUCUGGCAUUUCUUCAACGCAUGGUCUGAGGUAUUCACUGCACAGGAGAAGAAUAGUCCCAUAACACUGUCACGCCCACCCAUCCUCAAGCGCUGGUUUCCUGAUGGCUAUGGUCCAAUUAUCAACCUUCCUUUCACUCACCAUGAUGAGUUCAUCAGCAGAUUUGAAGCACCCGUACUCAGAGAGAGAAUUUUCCACUUCUCAUCAGAAUCAAUAGCAAAGCUCAAAGCAAAGGCAAAUGCACAGUGCAACAGCAACAAAAUCUCCUCUUUCCAGGCAUUGUCCGCACUUGUCUGGAGGUCCAUAACACGAGCGCGCUGUUUCCCACAUGAGCAGGUAACCAGUUGCAGGCUGGCCAUCGGUAACAGAACAAGAUUGGACCCGCCCUUGCCGGAGAACUACUUUGGGAACUCAAUUCAAACGGUGAGAGGCAUUGCCACUGCUGGUGAACUGCUUGAACAUGAUCUUGGGUGGGCAGCCUGGCUCUUGCACCAGGCUGUGGUCGGUCACACUGACAAAGCUGUGCGUGGCUGGCUUGAGUCAUGGUUUCAAUCCCACUUUAUUUAUCAGUUAGGCCUGUUUUUUGACCCCAAUAGCGUAAUGAUGGGGAGCUCGCCCAGAUUUAACAAGUAUGGAAUUGAGUUUGGACUAGGGAAAGGAUUGGCAGUUCGGAGCGGUUACGCACACAAGUUCGAUGGGACAGUGUCAUGUUACCCGGGACGUGAAGGAGGAGGAAGCAUAGAUUUGGAGGUGUGCCUACCGCCAAACUCGAUGAGUGCUCUUGAAUCCAACCAGGAGUUCAUGGAGGCUGUCUCUUUGUCCCCUUAGGUACUUAGUUUUCACAUAUGUAAUCUGCAUAAACUAAUGAUGUAAACUUCAUUAGUCUCUGUUUUUCUGUUUCUUCCUUGAAUAAGCACUUGUCUAUGUACGGACGUCCUUCAUAUAUUGCAAAUUCAGAUAAUAUGAUGUGAUAUCGAGGCAAAGUAAUUAUAAAGCAAAUGUUAAGUUGUUAUGUCAAGCUACCAAACAGUUCCACAUCAUAUCUGCUAAACCUAAUAUAAGACUAUAUGCCCCCUCCACGCACAACAAAGAUAGGACUUUAUAGAAGGAUGGUCAGCUUAUCUUAUGGAAGGUCAAAGCUCGACUUAUUUAAUGGUUAUUCAAUUCACUUCAUCUGUAAACAUGGACAUUUCGGACUAGAUGCCAGCCACUCUAAUAAUUGAGCAAUGAACUCCAGUUUCCAGCUGCAGAUUUCAGUACUCCAUAUUUAACUAGCAAGAAUAUUAUUGAUUGAUUUAAGCUUUCCCUCCUGCAAAAUUAGCAUACAACAGAUACGCGGUGAAGAGCUGUUAACAGCUUCAUCACACCCCAAGAGUCAAAGGCCAUGAGAACCCAAUUUUUUGGACUUUAUUUGCUAGUUCUCAUCAACCAUAGGCUAUAGCACCAUGAGGGACUUUAUUUGGAAUUUGGUAGUAGGAGCAAAAUUCAAACGGAGAAAAAAAAUAAUCAGAUUAUAGAAUGAAAUUGACUACUUACAUCAUCAACAUUGAGAGGCUCCUUGAGAUGUCACACCAUCUGCAGAGUGGUUUAACAAACAGAAUCCUAGCUUUCUCAUUUUGGUGGUCUGUGAAGUACCUAGCUCCCGUUAUAACAGUCCAGGUAACAUAUCACUAAACUCAUGCUUUUAUGUGGAAAAAACUAUUAAAUAAGUUAGUAGUACUUGCAUCCAAAAAUAUAAAGACCUGAGAUCAGACCUUGGGAGUUGUAACCUCAUUAAACUGCACAUGCGCCUAUGGGAAAGAAAAAGAGGAAAAUUAAGUUGUUCUUGAUGCCAUCAAUUAACAACAGCAAAUUGAGCAGUGGAAGUCCAUUGGAAAUGGGAGACAAACUACAUUUUGUAUGAAUAACAAUAACAGAAUAAUACAAACCAGCUAAAAGUUGAGCCCCAUCGAUUCUUCAGUGGGAUGAUCAAGGGGGUAUGAAAAAGCAACCAAAGAUCAAUCCUUCAGAAGUUCAAAAAGAUUAGGGACAGAGCAGAGUAGAAACGAAGUCAAACAGGCCUUACUAAAUCCUAGUGCAGGAAAGCUAAGCAUUCCCCUUGAAUGGUCCUAAAAUUUACAUGUCAUGCAAAAGUGAGGAGCACAGAUAACUUUCUAAAUUUAAAUCUAACAAGAAACUGAAUAUCAGCCCGCUAGCAUGGACAAAAAGUCAAUAAUCUCAGACUAAAAGAGGAGAAAAUAAUUUUUCAGGACAGUAGUUAUUUCAAGAGGCUGAGAAGUUUCCCCGAAACCUCUUUGUAUGCCCACGCACUGAUAGCUAUCCGAUUUUGUCCUAUUUAUUGCAUAUAAACUGCAUCCCCUUGACGGCUGAAAUGCCGAAACUGCAAGAAAUCAUUAAGGAAAUAAAAUAAAUACAAUAAAGGGAAAAGCUACUUCAAUGUUGAAGAAUUUCUGUGUGAGAAACCUACAGGACAUUAGCGAUAAUUACAAUGCAAUUUGGUUGUUAUAUGAGGGCCCAAGAAAGACAACCAGAGAAGCUUCAAGAAGACAUGAUGUUAGAAGCUGAUAUUCAACCAUGAAGAUCCUUUGAAAGGCCCAAGAAAGACAACCAGAAAAAGCCUCAUGAUGUUUAGCAGCUGAUAUUCAACCAUGAAGAUCCUUUGAAAGGCCCAAGAAAGACAACCAGAAAAAGCUUCAGGAUGUUAGCAGCUGAUAUUCAAUCAUGAGGAUCCUUUCAAAUCUGUGUACCCCUCAGAGCUUAGCUUCAGCCAAAUGUUCCAUGAGGGCCUUUUUGAGGAAAGGGAUCGCUCUUAAAACAUUGAAUGAAGCAUGGCCACAAGUUAGAGCCUAACUUAGAUUCUUCAAAGCAAUCUCAUAUACAUUCCAAAGCUUUUACUGAGCUUUCCUCGUUUAAAUGGUAUCACAGCCACUCCCCAGUGGGACUGUUAGCAGGCUUAAACCCUUUUCCCUCUAUAACUCCUUCCCAACUAAAGCAUUUCCAGAUUCACAUUCUUAUUAACUUCCACAAUUAUUAACUGUCUCCAUUGAUCGUCAAGAACAUGUAGCAAUCAACUGAGUAAUUCGCAACCCUUAGAGCAUCAUAUACAUUACGAGCCUAAAUCCUUGCAACUGAACCUUUCAGAAAAAUUGGUAGUUUAGCAUUGUAUUAGAACAAAGAUGAACUUGACGGCUGGACCUGAUCUUUUGUUUUCUAUAAAAUUGAAAUACUUAUGUCAUAAAAUUCAGUAAUGUACCAUCCUUAUUUAAUUUUUUUUAUUUUUUUAUUUUUCUGUUGUCAUGGUGCACCGUUGAAUUGAAUCAUGGACACCGCUGGACAAGCAUACGACGACUGUAAGAAUUUUAUCUCGAGAUUUUUUUUGACAAGUGGCUUUCGAGUUAGGGGCAACUACCAAGCGAAUUUAGAAUACGGAUACAAGUUGGCCUUUCAAUAUUGAAUUAUGCAGAUGAUGGGUGAUGCUUCCGGGGUCACGUUGGUAAAAAAAACACAAGAAAUGAGCAACCCUACGAUACUUCCUUUACUGCAAAACAAUUAAGCUUAUGUUGCGACUUGUGACUUCUUAGCAGUCAAAACACUGUUCAUAUUUUGACUUCAACCGCGGAAAAGGUCAAAAUGAUAUUUCAAGGACAAUAAUUAAAAGAAUUGACCUGCCCCUCAGCCCCUCCUUCCGCCUGUCUGGAGGUCCAUAACACAAGCACGCUGUUUACCACAUGAACAGGAAAUCAGUUGCUGCUUGGCCGUCAAUAACAGAACAAGAUUGGACCCGCCCUUGCCGGAGAACUACUUCGGGAACUCCAUUCAUACAGCCAAUGCCCAUUUCAGCUUUGGCUUCAGCUCUUGCAAAUGCAACACCUGAUCAGCAAAGAACAGUAUGCCCAUUACCCUAAUUAUUGAUGAUACCUUAGUUUGCGUUGUAUUAGUAGCCUUUUACGUAAUUUUCUUUUUCUUCUGCUCUCAUUAUUGUCGAUACCUUAGUUUGCAUUGUAUUAGGAGCCUAAUUUCUUUUAUUUUAUUUUAUUUUUUAUGGUGCUCAUGUUGUUGUUUCCGUUUUUAUUUUUAUGGUGGCUAGAUGCUGGGCGAAAGUUUGUACCCUCUCGUGGAUCAGCUGGAGCAUGAGAUGGCAGCCAAAGUGACAGGCAUGCUUCUGGAUAUGGGCCAGACUGAGUUUUUGCAUCUGCUCGAGUCGCCAGAGGCUUUGAAGUCCAAGGUUGCGGAGGCCAUGGACGUCCUGAGGAAUGUUGCUCAGCAGCAGGCUAACAGACCGAACAACUAUCCUCACUGUCCCUGAAUGAUAGCCUUGUUCCCUGAGUGUGUUGGGUGGGACUUGAAUGUGGUUCCAGCAGUUUAAAUUAAGUUUCUCUGCUAGUGAAGGCUCUAGAUUUCAUUUGAUAUGGAGUUACAUUAGCCAUAGAAUUCUGAAGUUUGAAACAUAUUGUGUGUGCUGGUUUUUGGUGAUAAAGUUUGGGAUGCUAUAUACUCUAUGUUUUGAUAUUGACAAUAGAGUGUUCUAUUGAGCAAUUUAUUAUGUGGGUAAUGUCAUGCAUGAUAUCCAUCCUCCAAAUACCUUUUAAAAGAAUGGGUCCAUCUAUGGCUGCCAGUCUUUCUUGCAGGGCAACCUUUAAGAAAGGAGAGCCAUAAUUUUUGCAAAACCGAUUCAGAAUAAUAAUGGUUAAGUUGUCUUUUCAACAUUUUGAUAUUAUUGUUAUGCAGGUUAUGCUUCUACAUCUAGUUUAAUUCAAUAAAAGGACACCGUGAAAGGUGUAAGACAAAACAAGAAAAAGAGCAUGUCUACAACACAUCCUUACUGCAAGUCUGCAAAGCAAUUAGGGCUGUGUUCUGAGCAGUCAAAACACUGGUUUAUACCUACAGGUUAUUAUUAUUACAACUUAAAUUCACAGCAUUGUUUCAUAUUUUGAUUGGAUCUAGUCUUUAUCAGCAACUGCGGGGAAAAGGGUAAAAUUACAUUACAAGGACAGUCGUUAAAAUAAUUGUCCUGCUCAUAUGCAGCUACAUCAACCAGAGCCACCCAUUAAGAAUGGAAGGGAGAAGCUGAAGAUAAGCUAUUGGCUUCCCUGAACAGAGGAACUCCUCGGUGGUCUAAUGGCAACUCCGACUGUUCGGCUCAUCUCAGAAUGCUUUAUCAAACCAAAGUUCACUUCAGAAGAGACAAAGGAGCCCUGUUACCUCACACCAUGGGACCUUGCCAUGCUCUCCGUCAAUUAUAUCCAAAAGGGCCUUCUCUUUAGCAAACCACCUCUGUGGAUUAUCCACAAAACUUCAUGGCAACUCUCUUGGACAGGCUCAAGGAUUCUCUCGCUCUCACACUCGACCAUUUCUACCCACUUGCAGGCCGCCUUGCAACAAAGAAGGAGGACAGUUCACCCUCUUACGUGGUCUUUGUAGAUUGUAACAACAGUCCCGGAGCGAAAUUCAUCCACGCAGCUGCAUACAUGACACUAUCUGACAUCGUUUCACCAAUUUAUGUACCCCAAGUUAUCCAAUCAUUCUUUGAUCAUGAUAGGGUGAUUAACCACGAUGGUCGCACCUUGUCUUUGCUAUCAAUUCAAAUCACAGAGCUUGUGGACGGCAUCUUCAUUGGAUGUUCCAUAAAUCACAGCAUGGUUUAUGGAACCUCUUUCUGGCAUUUCUUCAAUGCAUGGUCUGAGGUAUUCACUGCACAGGGGAAGAAUAGUUCCAUAACACUGUCACGCCCACCCAUCCUCAAGCGUUGGUUUCCUGAUGGCUGUGGUCCAAUUAUCAACCUUCCUUUCACUCACCAUGAUGAGUUCAUCAGCAGAUAUGAAGCACCCGUUCUCAGAGAGAGAAUUUUCCACUUCUCAUCAGAAUCAAUAGCAAAGCUCAAAGCAAAGGCAAAUGCACAGUGCAACAGCAACAAAAUCUCCUCUUUCCAGGCAUUGUCCGCACUUGUCUGGAGGUCCAUAACACGAGCGCGCUGUUUCCCACAUGAGCAGGUAACCAGUUGCAGGCUGGCCACCGGUAACAGACCAAGAUUGGACCCGCCCUUGCCGGAGAACUACUUUGGGAACUCAAUUCAAACGGUGAGAGGCAUUGCCACUGCUGGUGAACUGCUUGAACAUGAUCUUGGGUGGGCAGCCUGGCUCUUGCACCAGGCUGUGGUCGGUCACACUGACAAAGCUGUGCGUGGCUGGCUUGAGUCAUGGUUUCAAUCCCACUUUAUUUAUCAGUUAGGCCUGUUUUUUUAUGAAGAAUUUGAAGAAAAAUAUGAAGAAUUUGAAAACAAAAUAUGGAGGAACACCUCAAUUCAUUCUGUGAUACCUUCCUUUACAAUGAAUGAAAGCAUAAAUAAAUAGCCUACGGAUAUGAGACAAUUCCGGAAUGGAAUUUCCCUUACAUGGAAAGUGAAUAAACUCUUACAUGGGAAGUGAAUAAACUACUCUUACAUGGAAAGUGAAUAAACUACCUUGCUAGAAUUACUCUUAAAUAUAUAAACUACUCUUACAUGGAAAGUGAAUAAACUACCUUGCUAGAAUUACUCUUAAAUCAAUUAUAAUAAAGGCUGUACAUUACACUAAUUAGGGAAGUAAACAGAGGAUGCUGGCUUGAUUUCCAACACUCCCCCUCAAGCCGCGUUGUAGAUGUUGAUCAUUCCAAGUUUUUUUGUCAGAUCUUCGAAGUUAACUCGAGCAAGAGCUUUUGUGAGAAUGUCAGCCGUUUGACAGUUUGUCGGAGUGUAGCUGACUUUGAAAACUCCUUCUUCAAUCUUUUCCUUGAUAAAGUGUCGAUCUAUCUCCACGUGCUUAGUUCGAUCAUGAUGAACCGGAUUCUUAGCGAUACUGAUGGCAGCUUGAUUGUCGCAGUAUAACACCAUGGGAUGCUUCAAUGGAACCCGUAAUUCUUCUAACAGCCUGUUCAACCAGAUUCCCUCGCAGAUACCUUGUGCCAUAGCACGAAAUUCUGCCUCAGCACUGCUACGGGCUACCACUGACUGUUUCUUGCUUCGCCAUGUAACCAAGUUCCCCCAGACAAAUGAACAAUAGCCUGAAGUUGAUCUCCGAUCAGUCACUGAACCUGCCCAAUCUGCAUCUGAAAAAAUCUUAAUCUCUUUAUUUGUUGUUCUUUGAAAGAAGAGACCCUUUCCCGGUGUCAUCUUGAGGUAUCUCAAUAUUCUGAUCACAGCAGUCAUGUGUUUUUCGGUUGGAUUAUUCAUGAAUUGACUUACCACACUAACGGAGAAGCCGAUGUCUGGCCUUGUAUGAGAAAGAUAGAUGAGUUUCCCCACAAGACGUUGAUAUCUUCCUUUAUCAACUGGCGCACUUCCAUCACUUUCUUCCAGUUUGACAGUUGUAUCCAUAGGUGUUUCUGCCGGCUUGCAUCCUAGCAUUCCUGUUUCAUUCAAUAAGUCUAGAACGUAUUUGCGUUGUGAGACUGCUAUACCUUUCUUUGACCUAGCAAUCUCCAUUCCGAGAAAGUACUUGAGGUUUCCAAGAUCCUUGAUCUCAAAUUCCUUUGUCAGUAAUUUUUUAAGUAAGUCAAUUUUCUCUUCAUGAUCACCUGUCAAAAUUAUGUCGUCCACAUAUACAAUGAUAAUUGCUAGUUUCCCUUCUGGGAAGUGUUUCACAAAUAAUGUGUGAUCGGAUUGACAUUGAACGAAUCCGUACCCUUUCACUACCUUAGUGAACCGUUCAAACCAGGCCCUGGGAGAUUGUUUGAGACCAUACAAGGAUUUUCGGAGUCUGCAAACCUUGUUGAAAUUUGAUGUCGUCUCAAGUCCAGCAGGAAUGUCCAUGUAAACUUCUUCCUCUAAGUCACCAUUGAGGAAGGCAUUCUUCACAUCAAGUUGGUGAAGCGACCAAUCGAGAUUAGCUGCCAAGGAUAAAAGUACAUGAACAGUAUUGAGCUUGGCAACUGGAGCAAAAGUUUCUUGAUAGUCAAUGCCAUAAGAUUGGGUGAAUCCUUUGGCAACCAACCGAGCCUUAUACCUGUCCACAUUACCAUCUGCCUUGUACUUUACUGUGAAAAUCCACUUACACCCAACUGGUUUCUUACCUCUUGGGAGGUCAGUAAUUUCCCACGUACCAUUCUUUUCCAGCGCCCGAACUUCCUCAUCGACUGCCGCCUUCCAUUUAGGAUACUUGAAAGCUUCCUGAAUAUUCUGAGGAACUUGUAUCUCUGUGAUGCUAGAAGUGAAUGCACGAAACGUAGGUGAUAGCUUAUCAUAAGAAAUAAAAUUUCCAAUGGGAUGCUGAGUGCAUGAUCUAACUCCUUUCCUCCAAGCUAUGGGCAUAUUAAGAAUAUCAUUUUCUAACUCGGAAUCAACAGUACCAUCAGGAGCGUUGUUACCUGGAAGUUUGCUUGGAUUAGGACCUGGUUCUGCCUCAUGGGUUUGUUGAGAAAGUGCUCUUUCCUCCGUUUCCUCUUGGAUGUGCUCCUUAUCCCACAAGUCAACAAUGAACUCGGGUUAAUUAAAUGACUCUGGAGGAAUGUGAUUUUCAGUGGUGAUGGGUGACUCACUGAAUGACUCAAGAUCCCAAAAUUGAUAUUCCUGAGUUGAAUUCUCCCCCUGAAUAUCGUUUUUGGGAUAGUAAGGCUGGGUUUCAAAAAAGGUGGCAUCCAUUGAAUUGUAGAAUUUUCUUGUGACCGGAGAGUAACACUUAUACCCUUUUUGAUUUGAAGAAUACCCAAGAAAGAUGCACUUGAGUGACCUAGGAUCAAGUUUACUUCUAUGUUGUUGAUUGAUAUGAACAAAGACAGAGCACCCGAAAAUUUUGGGUGGGACGGUGGAGAUGAGACGAGUAGUCGGAAAGGAUUUUAGGAGUGUUUGACAAGGUGUUUGGAAUUUUAGUACCCUAGACAUUAGUGAGGUACAUUCAUGGAUCAUCUAUGAAUGAUUUUGGAACAUUCAUAUUGAUGAGGUAGGCUGCCGUAAGGACAGCUUGCCCCCAGAAUAAUUUUGGAACAUUCAUGGAGAACAUUAGUGAUCUAGCCACCUCUAACAAAUGCCUAUUUUUCCUUUCAGCGAUUCCGUUUUGUUGUGGGGUAUCAACACAUGAACUUAAGUGAACUAUCCCUUCUUGUGCUAGAAAUUCUCCUAGAAUGGAAUUGAAAUAAUCCCUAGCAUUAUCAGACUUUAGAAUUUGUAUUUUUGACUGGAAUUAGGUCUGAAUCAUAUUUUUAAAAUUUUUGAAAAUUUGACUCGUUUCAGAUUUUUCUUUCAUGAGGAAUACCCAAGUUAAUCUAGUGUGAUCAUCUAUGAAUGAGACAAACCACCUAGUACCAGUUACAUUUUUUAUUCUUGACGGACCCCAGAUAUCGCUAUGAAUCAUUGAGAAUGGACUAGACUCUUUAUAGGGUUGAAUGGGAAAAUGAGACCGGACUUGCUUUGAUAAUUGACAGAUUUCCCACUUAAAGGAUUUUGGAUUUUUAUUAAAUAAUGAAGGAAAUAAAUNNNNNNNNNNNNNNNNNNNNNNNNNNNNNNNNNNNNNNNNNNNNNNNNNNNNNNNNNNNNNNNNNNNNNNNNNNNNNNNNNNNNNNNNNNNNNNNNNNNNGCUGGACCGUAUUUAGGCAUAAAUUAGAAGAAUAGAAUUGAGUAAAAAAAAACUGACUAAAGAUGAAGACGAUGAGACAGGAUUAAACCUGCUCUGAUACCAUGAAGAAUUUGAAGAAAAAUAUGAAGAAUUUGAAAACAAAAUAUGGAGGAACACCUCAAUUCAUUCUGUGAUACCUUCCUUUACAAUGAAUGAAAGCAUAAAUAAAUAGCCUACGGAUAUGAGACAAUUCCGGAAUGGAAUUUCCCUUACAUGGAAAGUGAAUAAACUCUUACAUGGGAAGUGAAUAAACUACUCUUACAUGGAAAGUGAAUAAACUACCUUGCUAGAAUUACUCCUAAAUAUAUAAACUACUCUUACAUGGAAAGUGAAUAAACUACCUUGCUAGAAUUACUCCUAAAUCAAUUAUAAUAAAGGCUGUACAUUACACUAAUUAGGGAAGUAAACAGAGGAUGCUGGCUAGAUUUCCAACAUUUUACCCCAAUAGCGUAAUGAUGGGGAGCUCGCCCAGAUUUAACAAGUAUGGAAUUGAGUUUGGAUUAGGGAAAGGAUUGGCAGUUCGGAGCGGUUACGCACACAAGUUCGAUGGGAAAGUGUCAUGUUACCCGGGACGUGAAGGAGGAGGAAGCAUAGAUUUGGAGGUGUGCCUACCGCCAAACUAGAUGAGUGCUCUUGAAUCCAACCAGGAGUUCAUGGAGGCUGUCUCUUUAUUACCUCAGGUACUUUAGUUUUCAUAUCUGUAAUAUGCAGAAACUAAUAUCGUAAACUUCAUUAGAGUCUCUUUUUUUCUGUUUCUUGCUUGAAUAAACACUUGUCUUUGUGCCAACGUCAUUCAUAUAUUGCAAAUUCAGACAAUAUGACCGCCGCGUCGGGCUAUAAGAUAAGAUACCGCUGUUGUACUACUUGACUGGUAAGAAAAAGCUUCCGUAAGAACUGGAAGACUCUUGUAUGUACGGUAACCCUCUCUUCCGCUACUGGUGGAUUGUUGCACAGAAAGGCCGACAGAAGCAACCUUUCUUAGCGCUCUUUUCAAGCGCUUGGCUUCUGCUAGUGGCUGGCGGCAACAUCACACCCCAAGACUCCAAGGCCAUGAGAAUCCAUUCUUUUGAACUUUAUUUGCUAGUUCUCAUCUGCAAUAGCACCAUGAGGUUUGGCAUAUCACCUGUUCAUUAUUUAUAUCAACAGUCCACAUUCAUGGGAGAAUGAUUGCUCUUUUAGCAUCGCAUCCCUCGCUCAAUUCGUUCAACAACAAACUAGUUACUUGCAUUAUUUGAAUAUUACCACGUACUUGAGUUGGUUGAUGUUUUCCAGUCCACUAUAAAUUUGAGAUGCAAAGGGAGUUUUCAAGGGAGUGAAUGUACUCUUUCCCCUACAGGUUCUCAUAAUGCAGGAAAAUUGGAUAGGAGAGUAUGAUGUCCCCACUUGAAGACAUUUCGUAUAUUUCAAAAUUUUUAUUUUAAGGCAUCUAGAUCAUACAGGUUCCCAACGAAAUAGUAUUUCCAUGGAUGAUCAUACCAUACCGUUUGAAGGAAAUGUAAUCAUUAAAACCAGGGGAAAAGUUACUUCAAUGCCCAGUGACUUCUUUGUAAGAGACCUACUGGACAUGGGCUACAAUGCAAGUGGGGGCCUAAGAAAGACAACCAGAAAAAGCCUCGAGAAGACAUGAAGUUAGCAGCUGAUAUUCAAUCAUCAGGAUGCUUUAAAAUUCGUGUCCUCUCAGAGCAAGAAGUUGUAGGCUUUAGCCACAUGUUUAAUACAGCUGAGCAAUUCACAACCAUUAUGCUCCUUUAUUUCUUUUUCUUCUUUUUUUUUUCUAGGAAAAAACAAUAGAAAGGACAGGAAAAUGCUGAAGAUAGCUUCAGAAAGGAACAGAUUUAAAGUAAUUUUCAGCAUUUUCUUUCCAUUUCCAUUCUUCUUCUAAGAUUCAAAGGUGCACUACAGUCAGAACCAGAUAACUAAAAUCUCACCUUUGCAAAAUGUAAUAUCUUGGCCAUAUUCUCCUGCAUUAUUAAAAUGUGUCUCUACAUGUUAGAAUAAAGAAACAGAUUGGAAGCAAGGAAAUCUACCAAGAUGAAGCUGCACUGCAUAGCUGGUUAAAACUUCAACGAUGGCAAAUCCCACCCUUAACUUUUAAAAUACACUUGCUAGGCGCUUUUAAUAUAUUCCUUUGCUCGCCUAUAAAAAAAACCUUCAAAAUAUAGGGGCACCUACAAAAAUUAACAAGACAAAUUUGGAGGACAUAAAUGCUAACGGGUUGUGAUUCAUAUAAGUUUGGUGGUAAAGAAAGUUGAUAGUAAAUUUAAUAACGAAAAUCUUGAACACAAGGGUGCUUGAUGAAUGAGCAGAUAUCAGAGCACCAAUUACUUAGCCGUGUUGCAAAUCACUUCAAAAAACGCUGAGGGGGAAUCUGCCAAUAAUUACAUGAUCGUGCUGACUGAUGAGGUGAACCCAAGCGUAUGACAAAAUGUUUUGCCAGAGGGCCCAAAAGAUAUCGUGGAAUCAAAUACUAUAUAGUCAGCAAUUAAGAAAAUCAUCUCCUCUCUCGAGGACAUUUUCUCCUUUUUGGCCGUGUAUAUAUAUAUGAUUUGUAUUUUUUGCGCUCUUAAUUUAAAGGUUACUUUCAUGAAAGAUAUUUAUACUAUUAAAAGACAGUAUUUGGGUACUAUUUAUUGAAAAAUGCCUCAAAUUCCUAAUCUGUAUAAAUUCUUUUUAUAAAGAAUAUCAUACAAAAUAUUUCGAAAAUUGAUAUGUAAUUAUAAUGUUAGAUUUUUUUUAUAAAAUAAGAAACGUUAUUAAAAAUAUCUUAUAAAUAUUCCAUCUCAGAAAAAAGUUAUGACUAUCAGAACAAGUUCAUCUAAUUUUUAUGAUAUGAUGGAAUGAUUAUCUUUUAUUUGUUGAUGUAGGUAUAGUUUGUUGAACUAUGUUAAAACUUCAUAUACCUUUGUAUAUUUUUUUAUCUUUACAUUUUUGAACUAACAUUGUUUGCAUUACAAUUUUUACUAAUACAACAAACUAACAUCAUAACUCAUAUUGAAGAUUUCUAGAAGAGUUAAAAGACAACAUAACACAUAAAAUGAUGACAAAAGAAAUUUUAGAAAAUUUUAGUUUAAGGUGGAGUUUUUCUUUCAUUGGGAUGUGACACUAUGUAUCAUAUAAAGAGACGAAUUAUUGAAUUAAUGAAAUUUCAUUCAAUGUGGAAAUUAUUGGAUAUUGUCUUAAAUUGCUCAUUAGUAUAGAAUCAAUUUUUAAAGAAUAAUAUAUAAAAUAUUUGUUUUUGUAAUAUUUGGAUUUUCUUAUAAAAUAAAAAAAGUUAUUAAAAAUAUUUUCAUAAAUAUUUUAGCUCUAGGAAAUGUUAUAAGAUAUAGAUGAAGACUAAUAUGUGGUGAAUAGCCAUAUAAUAAAGAAUGGGUGGGAAUCAAUAGUCAUGUCUAGUUUUUGACCUCUAAUAUUUUCUAUGAUAUAAUGAUUAAAAUUGUAAACUGUUUUAUUUUUAUAAAGCUUUCGCUAGCAUAACACUACUUCUGACCUAAAAAAUGUAGAAAAUUCUAAUUAUUUAUAUUUAAACAUAAUAAGUUAGGAUUUUAUAAACUCAAAUGGCUCUUUUAUGUAUAUCUUUUUUCAAAAUUAUAUCAAAACAUGCUUGAACAGUUUUAAGUGCUUGGAAUUAUCAAAGAUGUGAGGGAUCAAUUGUAAUGAGUUAUUUAAAUGAUAUAUUAUGAAUUCAAAAAAAAAAAAACUUUAGGAGUCAAGAUACCUAAAACUUAGCUAAAGGGGACUGGUAGAGUAUUUUAUGGAAGCAAGAUUCUCAAGCCUCAUACUCUUUUUUAAAAAAUGAAAAUAUCUUCUCUUUUAUUUCUCCUUAUAAUCUUUGGAAAAGAAAACCCCUCCAUAUUCCUCUUUAAUGUUGUGGAAAAGAAACUAAAAUAAGUAAGCAUAUGACAAUGUUUAUACUUCAAAUAUUUUUAAUAUAAAUAUUUUUUCUACUAAUAUUUUUAGGAAAAUCAUUUAUCAUUUAUUAAAUGUUUUCUUAAAAAGUGCUAACUAUAAGUUAAUUUUUCAUAGCUGGAGCAUGAGAUGGCAGCUAAAGUGACAGGCAUGCUUCUGGAGAUGGACCAGACUGAGGUUUUGCAUCUGCUCGAGUCGCCAGAGGCUUUGAAGUCCAAGGUUGCGGAGGCCAUGGACGUCCUGAGGAAUGUUGCUCAGCAGCAGGCUAACAGCCCAACCGAACAACUAGCCUCACUGUCCCUAAAUGACAGCCUUGUUCCCUGAGUGUGUUGGGUGGAACUUAAAUGUGGUUCCAGCAGUUUAAAUUAAGUUUCUCUGCUAGUGAAGGCUCUAGAUUUCAUUUGAUAUGGAGUUACAUUAGCCAUAGGAUUCUGAAGUUUGAAACAUAUUGUGUGUGUUGGUUUUUGGUGAUGAAGUUUAGGAUGCUAUACAUUCUAUGUUCUGGUGUUGACGAUCGAGUGUUCGAUUGAGUUGCUUGCAUCAUGGUUCAAAGUCGCGGUAUCGGUCAUUGACUCGGAGGGUCCCGAGGCAUAUCGGUCUCGGUGUAUCGGUUUGGUAUCGGACGAUACGUAAAAUAAGCUAAUUAGAAAAUUCAAAAAAUUAUAAAAAUAUUAUGUAAAUCAUCAGAAAAAUAUAUACAAUUAAAUAAAUUAAUAAAAUAAAAUUGUAUUAUAUUUAACAUUAUUUAAAUAGUUAUAAAAGUAUUUGCUCAAAGUUAUUUAUAAUAAUACUAAUAAAAAUAAAUAUAUCGGUCUCGAAAUCAACUUGAAGUCAACUAUAAUCAAUAUGAUCUUUAGAGGUAAGAUCUACAGACGGGGUGCAUAAAUAAAUUUUUUUUUUAUCAAUUUAGACUAAUACAUCAACAUAAUUAUUAUUUUAAGCAAUUACUUAAAUUAUUAACCUCCUUCUGAGGUAAUAUUAAUACAUUAUUUCUUUAAACAAAUUUUAAUUUAAUUUUUUUAUAUAUAAUUAAUUUUAAUUAUAUUUGAUUUUUUUUUAUAUAUAUUUUUAUAAAAAAUCAUGCAUGAAAAUUUUAUUUUUCUUAAUAUAUUUUUGAAGAAAUCAUUUUUUUUCCAUAAGCUUAAAACACCAAAUUUUUAUUUUUUUAUUUUUUUAUACAGAAAUACAUGGACCACAGGCUUUUAUGAAUUGAACUUGGGCUGGGCCUAAUCUGGUGGGCUGAACCCGUAAAAAUAUGUCAUGGUGCUGAGCCACAUAGGAUCAAAACCUAUCUUCUCCUAUCUUCCCUCCACUGAAAGCAGAGAGUGCGAUCUGCAGAGAGUGUGAUCUGUAGAGAGUGAAACCGCCAUGGCCAUCUCUCUCUUCUCCUAUCUUGCCCUCCACCGUGGACGCUCACGACGUUGGUUCUGCCGGUGGUGCCAUCAAAUCCUAUUUUCUUCACUGCACAAAGCUCUUCUCUGCUCCCAAACUCGGAAUGAAGGUUGUUUAGCCGGCGUUCAGUCACCGUUGCGGCACCAGCAGCGCACCAAAGAUGAAAAAUCUUCACUCCUGAUGUCUCUAAAAAUGUUGAUUCUUGUUGUGAUGGGUUUCAGAAUCUGUUAGAUUUUUUUUUUUUCCGAGUCGACCGAGUUAACUCGGGAUAUCGGUCGAGUCAUCCGAGUCCAACCGAUUCAAAGCCGAGUUUAGGUAUAAAUUGUAUCUGGUAUCGGACUCGUCGCGGUCGGCGUCGAGGCGGAUACGACUCGGCCGAGUCGUACCGGACUCGACCGAUAUUUUGAACCCUGGCUUGCAUAUUCCAAACCACAGAAUUCUGACGUUAAAUAGAUACUAUGUUUGAUUUUGUGAUUAAAUUUUGGACUUAGACAUUGCUAUAGUUUUGGUGUUGAUCAUGGCAUUUUCUACGGAGUUUCUUGCACUAUUUCAAGUAUCAUGUCUUUCUCUUGCUUACAUGUGCUUGACUCUAGCCUUAAUCUAAAAUAUUUCUUACCAAUUCAUACGAUGUGCCUCACCUAACUGAUUUUGUAUAUCUUCUCUUCUCAUUUGCUCUGCGUCUGCUUUCUUUAGCUGAUUUGAUACGACCGUCCUGAGUUGCACCCUCAGAAGUCAAAAGCAUGGUGGCUGAGAGAUAAUAAAUUUUGAGAGCAUUGAUGGACCAUGUGAAUUGAAGGGGACCCAAGCCUCAGGGGUCUUGCUGCAUAAGUCGAAGUGCAAUAGGAUGCUACGAAUCCUUAAAACUAGAUGUUUUCUUUUUGGUGUGUUCCUAUUUCGUUUGGUAUUGGGGAUGAUUAACUCAGGGCCCAUAUUUCACAAAUUAAAAUAGAAUUUGUUUUAAUAGUUUAUUUUAGGAAGAGCACCCUUUAAAUUAGAACAGUGUGCUCGCUUGUAUCAUGGACCUAGUUGUAUUUCUUCCUCACGGUAUUAACGACUGCACACAUUAAUCGCUCUCACGUUGAUGAUAGGCCAUGUGCCCCGUUAUCAAUCCACAAGACAAGUUCAAACAUAUUCAAUUUCCAUUUCCAUGAUCCUAAUUGGAAUAUUUCGCAGCAGGUGGCCUAAGAGGCCUAGUGUGAAAGUUGUAAAAAAAAAGGACGAAGUAUCCUAAUGGACUACAAUGAUCAGGAUAGAAAAUCCUCAUUUAGCUUUAGGCCGACGUGGCCCCCAACGGCACCACGUUUUCAAAGCAUUACAAGAAACGUACAACCUUCAAAAUCUUUCACCUAGAUUUUAAACGACGGCUACAUUUCAUCUUCAGAAACCCAAGUUUGAAUUUUCAUUCAGUUCAAUAUUCCACUAGGUUAACAUAAUCAGAAUCCUUAAAAGAAGAGCCAAUGUCGAGGUUAUUACUAAGCAAGCAGGUUCUUCGUUUAAGUCUAUUUAAUUUAUUUCCCCCAUAUGCAAGCGCCCGAGUAUAGAAAAGGCUUUGAGCAAUUACGUGUACGUUUAAUUCAGUAUUGUAACCACAAGCACCCACCCGGCAAUGGUUCAAUUCAGUUCUGUAACCACCAGCUCCCACCAACUUUCGGUGGACUCUUCAAAGGAAGCGGCGUGAAGAAAGUUGAGAAAUUUCUCACGCAAUUCGGUUUAUUUAUUUAUUUUUCUGUUGUCACGGUGCACCGUUGAAUUGAAUCAUACAGCAAUUCAUUAAGUGGGUGACGUCAUGCUUGACAUCCAUCCUCCAGUUUUGGCUCAUCCUCCAAACACCUUUUAAAAGAAUGGGUCCAUCUAUGGCCUUUGAGUUAGGGUUGAAUUGCCAGCCCUAAUUUUUGGAAAACGGGUUUAGAAUCAUAAUAGUUAUUAUUAUUACAAUCUAAUCUCACAUCAUUCUUUUCAUAUUUUGACUGGAUCUAGUCUUUUCCAGGCAACUGGGAGGACAAUCAUUUAAAGAAUUGAGAUGCUCAUCUGCAGCUUUAUAAAUCACAGCAGCCCAUUAAGAAUGGUAGGGAGAAGCUGAAGAUAAGCUAUUGGCUUCCCUGAACAGAGGAGACUCCUCGGUGGUCUAAUGGCAACUCGACUGUCGGCUCAUNNNNNNNNNNNNNNNNNNNNNNNNNNNNNNNNNNNNNNNNNNNNNNNNNNNNNNNNNNNNNNNNNNNNNNNNNNNNNNNNNNNNNNNNNNNNNNNNNNNNNNNNNNNNNNNNNNNNNNNNNNNNNNNNNNNNNNNNNNNNNNNNNNNNNNNNNNNNNNNNNNNNNNNNNNNNNNNNNNNNNNNNNNNNNNNNNNNNNNNNNNNNNNNNNNNNNNNNNNNNNNNNNNNNNNNNNNNNNNNNNNNNNNNNNNNNNNNNNNNNNNNNNNNNNNNNNNNNNNNNNNNNNNNNNNNNNNNNNNNNNNNNNNNNNNNNNNNNNNNNNNNNNNNNNNNNNNNNNNNNNNNNNNNNNNNNNNNNNNNNNNNNNNNNNNNNNNNNNNNNNNNNNNNNNNNNNNNNNNNNNNNNNNNNNNNNNNNNNNNNNNNNNNNNNNNNNNNNNNNNNNNNNNNNNNNNNNNNNNNNNNNNNNNNNNNNNNNNNNNNNNNNNNNNNNNNNNNNNNNNNNNNNNNNNNNNNNNNNNNNNNNNNNNNNNNNNNNNNNNNNNNNNNNNNNNNNNNNNNNNNNNNNNNNNNNNNNNNNNNNNNNNNNNNNNNNNNNNNNNNNNNNNNNNNNNNNNNNNNNNNNNNNNNNNNNNNNNNNNNNNNNNNNNNNNNNNNNNNNNNNNNNNNNNNNNNNNNNNNNNNNNNNNNNNNNNNNNNNNNNNNNNNNNNNNNNNNNNNNNNNNNNNNNNNNNNNNNNNNNNNNNNNNNNNNNNNNNNNNNNNNNNNNNNNNNNNNNNNNNNNNNNNNNNNNNNNNNNNNNNNNNNNNNNNNNNNNNNNNNNNNNNNNNNNNNNNNNNNNNNNNNNNNNNNNNNNNNNNNNNNNNNNNNNNNNNNNNNNNNNNNNNNNNNNNNNNNNNNNNNNNNNNNNNNNNNNNNNNNNNNNNNNNNNNNNNNNNNNNNNNNNNNNNNNNNNNNNNNNNNNNNNNNNNNNNNNNNNNNNNNNNNNNNNNNNNNNNNNNNNNNNNNNNNNNNNNNNNNNNNNNNNNNNNNNNNNNNNNNNNNNNNNNNNNNNNNNNNNNNNNNNNNNNNNNNNNNNNNNNNNNNNNNNNNNNNNNNNNNNNNNNNNNNNNNNNNNNNNNNNNNNNNNNNNNNNNNNNNNNNNNNNNNNNNNNNNNGAUGCCAGCCACUCUAAUAAUUGAGCAAUGAACUCCAGUUUCCAGCUGCAGAUUUCAGUACUCCAUAUUUAACUAGCAAGAAUAUUAUUGAUUGAUUUAAGCUUUCCCUCCUGCAAAAUUAGCAUACAACAGAUACGCGGUGAAGAGCUGUUAACAGCUUCAUCACACCCCAAGAGUCAAAGGCCAUGAGAACCCAAUUUUUUGGACUUUAUUUGCUAGUUCUCAUCAACCAUAGGCUAUAGCACCAUGAGGGACUUUAUUUGGAAUUUGGUAGUAGGAGCAAAAUUCAAACGGAGAAAAAAAAUAAUCAGAUUAUAGAAUGAAAUUGACUACUUACAUCAUCAACAUUGAGAGGCUCCUUGAGAUGUCACACCAUCUGCAGAGUGGUUUAACAAACAGAAUCCUAGCUUUCUCAUUUUGGUGGUCUGUGAAGUACCUAGCUCCCGUUAUAACAGUCCAGGUAACAUAUCACUAAACUCAUGCUUUUAUGUGGAAAAAACUAUUAAAUAAGUUAGUAGUACUUGCAUCCAAAAAUAUAAAGACCUGAGAUCAGACCUUGGGAGUUGUAACCUCAUUAAACUGCACAUGCGCCUAUGGGAAAGAAAUGUUACCAUCCAAUAAAGAAGAAUACCCUGAUUUCAUAUAUACUGGAAUAGUUAACUGGGUGAAUACCCUAACUACAUAUGUACUGGAAUAUUUAAUAGGGUGAAUACUCUAACUACAUAUGUACUGAAAUAUUUAACAAGGUGAAUACCCUAAUUUAUAUAUACACUGGAAUCUCCUGAUUAAAAACAAUGAGUAGAAAAAUAAUAGCGGAAGCAUACCUGAAUCCAUUGAAGGAGAAACCUUAUAGAAAAAAAAAAACCCUUUGAGAUGGUCUUCCAAUUCUAGCCACUAGAUUCUGUGUCAAUUUCUCUCUGAGAGGAUUUUCAGAAAUUGGAAUGCGUAGUCGUAGAAUGGGGACCAUAACCCUAUUUAUAAACUGCUAGGGCAGUUUUAACUUUAUCACAAUUAUAUUUCUGCCCCUCAUAGAAAUAAUAAUUGUCUAAUGGUAUCUACACAAUAAUCUCAUGACAAUUAUACCCUUAAGCCAAUUAAUUAAUUAUUAAUUAGAUCACUAUAUUUAGGCUUAAUUAAAUGAUAGCACACACAUUUUAAUUAUUUGCAUGUGUGGCCCAAAUUAUAGAUUAAUUACAAAAAUUAAUCUAACAAUCUCCCACUGGGCCACAUGCAUAUGUAAUCAAAUAAAUGUGCUUAACCUUAUGAGCUCAAUUUGCUAUCAUGUCCUUAGGGUAUAUCCGAACAAUCUCGUCCAUUAACUAUACUGACAUAGGAUCAAGGUGGUCUAUGUUACAUCAAUCGUUACUAGACCAAUCAAUGGUCACAUAUAUCUGCAUAGCUAAAUGACAUAGAUCAAUCAUGAGUGCAUAGCAUGGAAAUUACAUGCAAUGUGAUCUAUUCAUGCCUAUUUCCAACUGGUCCUACUUAACUUUAUUGAGAUAAAAUCUUUAGCAUAAUUUAACAGAGUGCAAUGAAAUGAAUACUUUAUUUCUGCAGAACACAAUCCAAAUGUAUAGAUAAAGUCUAAACAUAACAUAGAGCAAUAUACAAUGAAUAAUAUAAACUCCCACUAAAUUUGGAUAUCCUCAAAUGAGACAACACCCAUAUGAGCAGUGUGCUCAUGAAAGACCUUGGGUGGUAAUCCCUUUGUAAGCGGAUCCGCUAUCAUGGAGUUUGUUCCAAUAUGCUCUAUGGAUAUCUGUCCACUCUGUACUUUUUCUUUUACAACUAGGAACUUGAUAUCAAUGUAUUUUGAUUUUGUAGAGCUCCUGUUGUUAUUGGAAUAUAAAACUGCUGAUUUAUUGUCACAAAAUAUCUUCAAUGGUCUUUCAAUACCAUCCAGAACGCGCAGCCCAGUGACAAAAUUUCGUAGCCAUAUUCCUUGAUUGGAUGCCUCAUAACAUGCUACAAACUCUGCUUCCAUGGUGGAUGAAGUUACGAGUGUCUGUUUGGCAGACCUCCAUGAAAUUGCUCCACCAGCCAACAGAUAAAUAUAGCCUGAUGUGGAUCUUCUGCUGUCUUGGCAUCCAGCAAAGUCGGAGUCGGAAUACCCAAUCAACUCUAAUUGAUCCAAUCUCCUAUAUGUAAGCAUGUACUCUUUUGUUCUCUGUAAAUAUCUCAUAACCCUCUUGGCUGCUCUCCAAUGAUCCAUUCCAGGGUUACUUAGAUAUCUGCCUAACAUGCCAACAAUGUACGCAAUAUCCGGACGUGUACAUACUUGAGCAUACAUUAGACUCCCCACAGCCGAAGCGUAAGGAAUCUUUUGCAUUUCUUGACUUUCUAAAUUAUUUUUAGGGCAUUGAUUAAGACUGAAUUUGUCUCCUUUAGCGACAGGGGUAUCACCUGGUUUGCUAUUUUGCAUGCCAUACCUUUGGAGGACUUUAUCAAUAUAGGUCCUUUGUGACAAUCCUAAAAUACCCCUAGAACGAUCUCGGUGUAUCUGGAUUCCUAAGACAAAAGAGGCAUCACCAAGAUCUUUCAUCUCAAAAUGUUUUGAUAAAAAUCUCUUGGUGUCGUGCAAUAUGCCAAUAUCAUUUGUGGCUAGCAAUAUGUCAUCGACAUAUAAAACCAGGAAAAUAUACUUACUCCCACUGAAUUUGUGAUACACACAUUCAUCCAUAAGAUUUGCCUCAAAACCAUAUGAGACAAUAAUUUGAUGAAACUUGAAGUACCACUGACGAGAAGCUUGCUUGAGCCCAUAAAUGGAUUUAGUUAAUUUACAAACCAUAUUCUUUGAGUCUUCGGACACAAAAUUUUCUGGUUGUACCAUAUAAAUUGUUUCAUCAAUGUCACCAUUGAGAAACGCUGUUUUAACAUCCAUUUGAUGUAACUCAAGAUCAUAAUGUGCAACUAGUGCCAUGAUUAUCCUGAAAGAGUCCUUCGUAGAAACUGGAGAGAAGGUCUCUUUGAAGUCAAUUCCUUCUUUUUGAGUAAAGCCUUUAGCUACAAGACGUGCUUUAUAUAUUUCUACAUUACCAUUUGAAUCCCGCUUGGUUUUAAAUAUCCAUUUACAACCAAUGGGUUUCGUACCAACUGGUAAUGGGACAAGUUCCCAAACUUUAUUGUCUUGCAUAGAUUUGUACUCUUCAUUCAUGGCUUCAAUCCAUUUAUGAGAGUUGGAACUUUUCACGGCUUGCUGGAAGUUGAUUGGAUCAUCUUCCAUCAUUCCACUUUCUACCUCACGUUCCUGGAGAUAUACGAUAUAAUCGUCCGAAAUUGCAUUUCUCCUCUCUCUAGUGGAUCUCCUUAAUGGCAUAUUUUCUUGAGGUUGUUGAGUUUGUUCUUCAGAAGUAAUGUCCUCAUUUGCAAUUAAGGGUUGAACAAUAUUGUAUGUUGGUUGAGGAUCCAAAUUUACUUCUUGAUCAAUGAUAGGUAGUGAAACCUGUACAUUAUCAAUAGCAAUAGUAGAUCCCUCUUCCUCCUCAAAGACAAUAUUCCUAGCCUGAUUUCUCCCCCCAAACUCAACAUCCUAAAAAAAUGUUGCAGUUCCCGUCUCAAAAAUUGACCUAAUAGCAGGAUCAUAAAAUUUAAAACCCCUUGAUCGCUCUGCAUAGCCAAUAAAGUAGCUGCUAACUGUUUUAGAGUCCAAUUUCUUUUCAUGAGGCUUAUAAGGUCUCGCUUCAGCUGGACAUCCCCAAAUAUGAAAAUGCUUUAAACUGGGCUUUCGACCCGUCCAAAGCUCAUAAGGCGUUUUAGCAGCUGCUUUAGUUGGCACCCGAUUUAGGAUAUAAGCUGUCGUUUUGAGUGCUUCACCCCAGAGUUUUUCGGGUAAAGUAGAAUGACUAAUCAUACUCCUUACCAUGUCCUUAAGGGUUCGGUUUCGUCUUUCUGCUACACCAUUCAUGCUAGGUGAUCCUGGCAUGGUGUAUUGAGGGACGAUCCCACAUUCCUCUAGGUAUUUAGCAAAUGGUCCUGGACGUUGUUCACCUGAUCCGUCAUAUCUACCAUAGUAUUCACCACCACGGUCAGAUCUGACACUCUUUAUUCUUUUGUUGAGUUGCAACUCAACUUCUGCUUUAAAUGUUUUGAACACGUCCAAUGAUUGUGAUUUCUCAUGUAUAAGAAAUAGGUAGCCAUAUCUUGAAUAGUCGUCUAUGAAUGUUAUAAAGUACUGUUGACCAUUCCAAGAUGCCGUAGGGUAUGGUCCACAAAUAUCUGUAUGAAUUAAUUCUAAGACGUCUGUAGCUCUAUUGGCACCCAAUUUCUUUGUUUUGGUCUGUUUUCCUUUAAUACACUCAACACAAAUAUCAAAAUCUGAAAAGUCAAGUGAAUCCAAAAUCCCAUCGGACACAAGUCGCUCAACUCUGGAUUUAGAGAUAUGACCUAAGCGUUUGUGCCACAAUGAGGCCGAAUUAUCUUUAUUCAAUUUACGUUUUGUACCUCGUGAUUCCACAUGCAAGGUUUCAUUAUAGGACGGAACAGUUUCCAACAAAUAUAGAUUAUCAUAAACAUUAAGCAAACCGGUUCCUACAGCAUUUGAAUUAAUAGAUAAUGUAAAUUUAUUGUUUCCAAAUGAACAACAAUAACCUGAUUUGUCCAAAACAGAAACUGAAAUUAAAUUCCGUCUGAAAGACGGUACAAUAAAAGUAUCUAUUAAAUCCAAAAAAUAACCAGAUUUCAAUAAUAAUCUAAAGUGCCCUAUUGCCUCUACUUCUACCGACUGACCGUCUCCGACAUAGAUGCAUCUUUCAGCAUCACUUGGUUUUCGGUAACUCAGGCAACCCUGCAUAGAAACACAAAUGUGAGUAGUAGCACCAGAAUCUAACCACCAUGUGUUUCUAGAUACUGAAGCUAAAUUAACUUCAGAACAGACCAAAGUAAGAAACAUACCUUUCUUAACACGCCAAGCAGCAUACUUGGUACAUUUUUUCUUAGUAUGUCCAGGCUUAUUACAGAAAAAACAUGUUACCUCAACUUUCUGUUUCUUUUGUUCUGGACCAUUGGAAGCAGCAACCUUAUUAUCCUUAUUCUUUCGUUUGCCCUUAUCCUUCGAAGUGCUAGCCAGAUGAGCACUUUCGGUCUUGUCUUGCUUCAAUCUCUCUUCCUCUUGCACACAGAAUGAAAUGAGCUCAUUAAGAGUCCAUUUAUCCUUUUGACAGUUAUAACUGACCUUGAAUUGAUUAAAUUGUGCAGGAAGAGAGAUGAGAACCAAAUGCACGAGUAAAUCAUCAGAUAACUCGAGUUUCAAAGCCUUAAGUUUUGAAGCAAGAUGAGACAUCUCCAUGAUGUACUCCCGAACAUUACCCUUGCCUUUAUACUUCAUUGAAAUCAAGCGUGCUCGUUUCAGCCUUAUCGUUUUUGGCAAAACGCUUCUGAAUUUCCGCAAGGAAGUCACUGGCAUUAGUAACCUCAUCGGUUACCGCACCCCUGAAAGCUUCUGGAAUGCCGCGCUUCAUGAUCAUAAGACUUAGCCUAUUUGAACGUUCCCACUUACCCCAAUAAACAUCAUCCUCUUGAGUACUUUGCUCAUUGAGUUCAUCGGGUUUGGGCAUUCUCAAGGCUAAGUCUAUAUCCAUGCAGCCUAAGAGAAUCAUCAUAUUCUCUUUCCAGUCCUUAAAAUUAGUCCCAUUUAACAUAGGGACAUUAUUGAUGUUGGCAGAUAUAGAAGUGGUUGAUAUAAAAGCUGAAUCCAGAACAAAAUAAAAUGAAUCAAAUAAACCAUCAUGCUCACAUAAAAUAAGCAAUUAAACACAUAAUCUUUAAAUUUAAAAGCAAUUAUGACAUUUCAAGAUACCUAGCACAACAUUAAUAUCAAGUCUUUGGACAGUAAUAUUAACUGUAAGUGGUACUCUUGUUGUAGUGAUCAAACAUUGAUGAUAAGUUAUGUCAAAUAAUAAAUCUAUCUUUGGAUUGAUUUAUUAUUCACAUUAAGUUACCUUUAUAAUCAUCACAUAUUUAUCACCAUAGGUAUGUAUGCAAUUUGACCAAAUAUUAACUUUCCUUUGGGCCAGUUAAUACCCGCAUGAAUCACAUACACACAAAUAUCUAACACCCCGAACAGACUAAUCUACACGAAAGAUGUCACUUUGGUGAUUUUCCGCUUUAAUUAGCCUAUUUAAAAAUGCUAGAUCAAUAACUUAAAUAUUAAUAUCAUAAAAUGCUAUUAAAUAACAAUAAUAAUAAUAAUAAUAAUAAUAGUAAUAAUAAUAAUAAUAAAAAAAAUUUAUCAACUCAAUAUUUCAUAAAUCUUAAUCCAUUGACAUAUAUAUAUUAAAAUAAUAACUCAAAGAAUUAAUCAAGGAGUAGGCUCUGAUACCACUUGUUACCAUCCAAUAAAGAAGAAUACCCUGAUUUCAUAUAUUAAUCAAGGAGUAGGCUCUGAUACCACUUGUUACCAUCCAAUAAAGAAGAAUACCCUGAUUUCAUAUAUACUGGAAUAGUUAACUGGGUGAAUACCCUAACUACAUAUGUACUGGAAUAUUUAAUAGGGUGAAUACCCUAACUACAUAUGUACUGGAAUAUUUAACAGGGUGAAUACCCUAACUACAUAUGUACUGAAAUAUUUAACAAGGUGAAUACCCUAAUUUAUAUAUACACUGGAAUCUCUUGAUUAAAAACAAUGAGUAGAAAAAUAAUAGCGGAAGCAUACCUGAAUCCAUUGAAGGAGAAACCUUAUAGAAAAAAAAAAAACCCUUUGAGAUGGUCUUCCAAUUCUAGCCACUAGAUUCUGUGUCAAUUUCUCUCUGAGAGGAUUUUCAGAAAUUGGAAUGCGUAGUCGUAGAAUGGGGACCAUAACCCUAUUUAUAAGCUGCUAGGGCAGUUUUAACUUUAUUACAAUUAUAUUUCUGCCCCUCAUAGAAAUAAUAAUUGUCUAAUGGUAUCUACACAAUAAUCUCAUGACAAUUAUACCCUUAAGCCAAUUAAUCAAUUAUUAAUUAGAUCACUAUAUUUAGGCUUAAUUAAAUGAUAGCACACACAUUUUAAUUAUUUGCAUGUGUGGCCCAAAUUAUAGAUUAAUUACAAAAAUUAAUCUAACAAGAAAAAGAGGAAAAUUAAGUUGUUCUUGAUGCCAUCAAUUAACAACAGCAAAUUGAGCAGUGGAAGUCCAUUGGAAAUGGGAGACAAACUACAUUUUGUAUGAAUAACAAUAACAGAAUAAUACAAACCAGCUAAAAGUUGAGCCCCAUCGAUUCUUCAGUGGGAUGAUCAAGGGGGUAUGAAAAAGCAACCAAUGAUCAAUCCUUCAGAAGUUCAAAAAGAUUAGGGACAGAGCAGAGUAGAAACGAAGUCAAACAGGCCUUACUAAAUCCUAGUGCAGGAAAGCUAAGCAUUCCCCUUGAAUGGUCCUAAAAUUUACAUGUCAUGCAAAAGUGAGGAGCACAGAUAACUUUCUAAAUUUAAAUCUAACAAGAAACUGAAUAUCAGCCCGCUAGCAUGGACAAAAAGUCAAUAAUCUCAGACUAAAAGAGGAGAAAAUAAUUUUUCAGGACAGUAGUUAUUUCAAGAGGCUGAGAAGUUUCCCCGAAACCUCUUUGUAUGCCCACGCACUGAUAGCUAUCCAAUUUUGUCCUAUUUAUUGCAUAUAAACUGCAUCCCCUUGACGGCUGAAAUGUCGAAACUGCAAGAAAUCAUUAAGGAAAUAAAAUAAAUACAAUAAAGGGAAAAGCUACUUCAAUGUUGAAGAAUUUCUGUGUGAGAAACCUACAGGACAUUAGCGAUAAUUACAAUGCAAUUUGGCAUUGUUAUAUGAGGGCCCAAGAAAGACAACCAGAAAAAGCCUCAUGAUGUUUAGCAGCUGAUAUUCAACCAUGAAGAUCCUUUCAAAGGCCCAAGAAAGGCAACCAGAAAAACCUUCAUGAUGUUAGCAGCUGAUAUUCAAUCAUGAAGAUCCUUUCAAAUCUGUGUACCCCUCAGAGCUUAGCUUCAGCCAUUUGUUCCAUGAGGGCCUUUUUGAGGAAAGGGAUCGCUCUUAAAACAUUGAAUGAAGUAUGGCCACAAGUUAGAGCCUAACUUAGAUUCUUCAAAGCAAUCUCAUAUACAUUCCAAAGCUUUUACUAAGCUUUCCUCGUUUAAAUGGUAUCACAGCCACUCCCCAGUGGAACUGUUAGCAGGCUUAAACCCUUUUCCCUCUAUAACUCCUUCCCAACUAAAGCAUUUCCAGAUUCACAUUCUUAUUAAUUUCCACAAUUAUUAACUGUCUCCAUUGAUCUUCAAGAACAUGUAGCAAUCAACUGAGUAAUUCGCAACCCUUAGAGCAUCAUAUACAUUACGAGCCUAAAUCCUGACAACUGAACCUUUCAGAAAAAUUGGUAGUUUAGCAUUGUAUUAGAACAAAGAUUAACUUGAGGUCUCAGGUUAAAGUCCUUUAAAUUUAUGAUUUGUCUAUAGCUACUGCUGCUUGUGACAUCCAUGUGCCAAUAUAGGGCCACACCUUUCAACACACCUGGGGUUAUCUGCAACUACCACUAUCUGUGCCACCCGCAUCUGGGUGUGUGGGGCCACACCCAGUGCGUGGGGGACUUAUCUACAACUACUUGUCACAAGAUGCUUCAAAUGACCCUCCUCAUGGGCUUAUAUAGGAGGUGAGAAGCUUCUAGAGACCCUUGGAGACAUCUACAUACAAAGUGGAAGAGUAUAGAAACUUCUAGAGCAGGCUAAAAAUGUCCACACAUCUCUACACUUGGCUAGGAGAGCAUUGGAAUAGUGUGGGGUGUUAUAGAAUCUUCCAAAGUCAUCUUGUACAUAUCCUUGUACAUAGAUUACUGUAGGAGCUUCUAGUUUAUUCUUGAUUUGUAAGGAACCUUUUAAGAUUCUAGAAACUUCCUAAAGUGUCUAUAAAUAAGUUAAGGCCUCAUUUGGUCAAGGCACCACCCAAACCACUUCCUAAUCAAGCAAGUGAGUUUCAAAGCACUUGUAAAGUUUCCUUUGAGCAAUAAAAACUUCAAUUCUUCAAGAGUUGCCUACUAAACCUUUUAAAGCUUUCAAGUCAUAAGCAUCUUAGCCUAACAAGUUAAGCAUCAGGAGUAAAGUUGACUUAAUAAGAUCAAGUGUCUUGACUAAGUGCCGCACAAGCUUAGGAAAAGACUAAGUUCGUGACAUACUGCUGCAUAUGCCACCCACAUGGAGGGGGUGUCCUCCAUUUCCAUUGUUCUUCAAGGGUGCAUAAUAGUCCAAUCAAAUAUAUAGAGCCAUAUUUUCUAACGGCUUACAUAUAACCAAAUAUUUACACUAACAUUUCUUAAACUUCAAUGAGGAACACCAAAAUCUUACUGUUGAAAAAUAUGACUCAAACGCCUUUGCCAUAUUAUCCCGCAUAAUUCAAAUGUAUAUCCACAUGUUAGAAUAAAGCAUUGAAAACUUAGCAAGAUAAAAUUGCACUUCUUAACUGGGUAACAAUUCUAGAAAGGAACAUCACAACCUUAACUUUAAACCGCUGCAGCAGCAACGAGAAAAUUCUUCACUUUAAUAACCAAAUUCUUAAACACAAAAAUUGUAACAAGGGUACUUGAUGAAUGAGCACAUCUCAGAGCAUCAAUUGCUUAACCGUGCUGCAAUCCCAUCAAAGAAGCGAAUGAUCCAAUGGCUGAUUGAUGCUAUGAACCAGGUGUAUGAUAAAAUGCUUGAAAGACUCUCAAAUGAAGGUCCACAAGAAACCAUACAAUGAAAGAACUAUCCAGUGAGCAAGCAAGAAAAUCACGUCCUCUCUCGAUUAAAUUUCUCAUUUGGCCGAAUUUACAAAGAUUUAAAGAUGAAAACAAAGGAUAGUCAUCUAAAUACGAUCUUCAGUGCUUGGAAUUAUCAAAAUUACAAAACAUGAAACAAAAUAAUCAUGAGUGUACCGAGGGACCAAGAAAUUCUCUAGGGCUACAACGUAACUGAAUUAAACCCAAUACGGCCUAAUUUUGGACGGGUUUGAGCAACACACCGCCUCAAACGGCGGAAAAAAAGUGUUAUUUGGGCCGGCCUCCACCCUCGGGUUGAGGCCUCAAGCAACCUGGACGGCUGGACCUGAUAUUUUGUUUUCUAUAAAAUUGAAAAUUAAUUAUUAUAACAUAUACUUAUGUUAUAAAAUUCAGUAAUGUAUCAUCCUUAUUUAAUUUUUUUAUUUUUUUAUUUUUCUGUUGUCAUGAUGCACCGUUGAAUUGAAUCAUGGACACCGCUGGACAAGCAUAUGACGACUGUAAUAAUUUUACCUCGAGAUUUUUUUUGACAAGUGGCUUUCGAGGUAGGGGCAACUACCAAGCGAAUUUAGAAUGCGGAUACAAGUUGGCCUUUCAAUAUUGAAUUAUGCAGAUGAUGGGUGAUGCUUCCGGGGUCACGUUGGUAAAAAAAACACAAGAAAUGAGCAACCCUACGAUACUUCCUUUACCGCAAAACAAUUAAGCUUAUGUUGCGACUUGUGACUUCUUAGCAGUCAAAACACUGUUCAUAUUUUGACUACAACCGCGGAAAAGGUCAAAAUGAUAUUUCAAGGACAAUAAUUAAAAGAAUUGACCUGCCCCUCAGUCCCUCCUUCCGCUUGUCUGGACUCUGGAGGUCCAUAACACAAGCACGCUGUUUACCACAUGAACAUGAAAUCAGUUGCUGCUUGGCCAUCAAUAACAGAACAAGAUUGGACCCGCCCUUGCCGGUGAACUACUUCGGGAACUCCAUUCAUACAGCCAAUGCCCAUUUCAACUUUGGCUUCAGCUCUUGCAAAUGCAACACCUGAUCAGCAAAGAACAGUAUGCCCAUUACCCUAAUUAUUGAUGAUACCUUAGUUUGCAUUGUAUUAGUAGCCUUUUACGUAAUUUUCUUUUUCUUCUGCUCUCAUUAUUGUCGAUACCUUAGUUUGCAUUGUAUUAGGAGCCUAAUUUCUUUUCUUUUAUUUUAUUUUUUAUGGUGCUCAUGUUGUUUCCGUUUUUAUUUUUAUGGUGGCUAGAUGCUGAGCGAAAGUUUGUACCCUCUCGUGGAUCAGCUGGAGCAUGAGAUGGCAGCCAAACUGACAGGCAUGCUUCUGGAGAUGGGACAGACUGAGUUUUUGCAUCUGCUCGAGUCGCCAGAGGCUUUGAAGUCCAAGGUUGCGGAGGCCAUGGACGUCCUGAGGAAUGUUGCUCAGCAGCAGGCUAACAGCCCAACCGAACAACUAUCCUCACUGUCCCUGAAUGAUAGCCUUGUUCCCUGAGUGUGUUGGGUGGGACUUGAAUGUGGUUCCAGCAGUUUAAAUUAAGUUUCUCUGCUAGUGAAGGCUCUAGAUUUCAUUUGAUAUGGAGUUACAUUAGCCAUAGGAUUCUGAAGUUUGAAACAUAUUGUGUGUGUUGGUUUUUGGUGAUAAAGUUUAGGAUGCUAUAUACAUGUUUUGAUGUUGACAAUAGAGUGUUCUAUUGAGCAAUUUAUUAUGUGGGUAAUGUCAUGCAUGAUAUCCAUCCUCCAAAUACCUUUUAAAAGAAUGGGUCCAUCUAUGGCUGCCAGUCUUUCUUGCAGGGCAACCUUUAAGAAAGGAGAGCCAUAAUUUUUGCAAAACCGAUUCAGAAUAAUAAUAUGGUUAAGUUGUCUUUUCAACAUUUUGAUAUUAUUGUUAUGCAGGUUAUGCUUCUACAUCUAGUUUAAUUCAAUAAAAGGACACCGUGAAAGGGGUAAAACAAAACAAGAAAAAGAGCAUGUCUACAACACAUCCUUACUGCAAGUCUGCAAAGCAAUUAGGGCUGUGUUCUGAGCAGUCAAAACACUGGUUUAUACCUACAGGUUAUUAUUAUUACAACUUAAAUUCACAGCAUUGUUUCAUAUUUUGAUUGGAUCUAGUCUUUAUCAGCAACUGCGGGGAAAAGGGUAAAAUUACAUUACAAGGACAGUCGUUAAAAUAAUUGUCCUGCUCAUAUGCAGCUACAUCAACCAGAGCCACCCAUUAAGAAUGGAAGGGAGAAGCUGAAGAUAAGCUAUUGGCUUCCCUGAACAGAGGAACUCCUCGGUGGUCUAAUGGCAACUCCGACUGUUCGGCUCAUCUCAGAAUGCUUUAUCAAACCAAAGUUCACUUCAGAAGAGACCAACGAGCCCUGUUACCUGACACCAUGGGACCUUGCCAUGCUCUCCGUCAAUUAUAUCCAAAAGGGCCUUCUCUUUAGCAAACCACCUGAUGUGGAUGAUCCACAAAACUUCAUGGCAACUCUCUUGGACAAGCUCAAGGAUUCUCUCGCUCUCACACUCGACCAUUUCUACCCACUUGCAGGCCGCCUUGCAACAAAGAAGGAGGACAGUUCACCCUCUUACGUGGUCUUUG